rnacentral:rRNA from 1 species
CCUACGGGAGGCAGCAGUGAGGAAUAUUGGUCAAUGGGCGCAAGCCUGAACCAGCCAAGUCGCGUGAGGGAUGACGGUCCUAUGGAUUGUAAACCUCUUUUGUCGGGGAGCAAGGCCCGCCACGUGUGGCGGGAAGGAGAGUACCCGAAGAAAAAGCAUCGGCUAACUCCGUGCCAGCAGCCGCGGUAAUACGGAGGAUGCGAGCGUUAUCCGAAUUUAUUGGGUUUAAAGGGUGCGUAGGCGGAAGGUUAAGUCAGCGGUAAAAUGUCGGUGCUCAACACCGGCCUGCCGUUGAAACUGGUCUUCUUGAGUGAGCGAGAAGUACGCGGAAUGCGUGGUGUAGCGGUGAAAUGCAUAGAUAUCACGCAGAACUCCGAUUGCGAAGGCAGCAUACCGGCGCUCAACUGACGCUGAGGCACGAAAGCGUGGGGAUCGAACAGGAUUAGAUACCCCAGUAGUC